CCAGCCUGCAUAAGCUUUCAGAUUUUGAAGGGCCCCGAUCGGGGGGACGGGUGAAAGUAAGGGCUACGGGCUAUCCCGCUCCUAACUGACCGAACGCCCAUAGGGCGUAGCCGUUACGCGCUGACAGUGACCCGUAUGUCGGACUUUUCACUCCGCCCUCUGACCUCGCGCCCGCAUUUGCUGACCUGCUGUCGGACUCCACACUGGCCGCCCGAUGGGCUUCUACCUGCAACAACCGCUUUGGUCAUCGCACUCUCGGAAAUGCUGAAGAUCGGGGAUCGUGCUUAGUCAAAGCAUUGUAAUAAUGCCGACUACAAAACAGUCAACAGAUAACUCCACAGCGUGGCUGAAGAUGAGCCAAGCUGAAUGUAUAGUGAUAUUCAAGAUCCUGAAAGGGUUGUAAGAAAAUCAACUGACAUGGUAUAUGACGAGACUGGUUAUUCCCAAUCUGGAAUGAGUGGAAUUAUAAAAGAAGAACUAAAAUAUUUCAUCACUCUGCAUAUGAAACAGGAUUAUUGCUGUACCACAGCAGCCUGGGGAUAUUAUAUCUGCCACUGCUUACAAAUAGUUUGGAAGUAACUGGCAAGAAUGGAGGAACAAGUCCAAGGACAAAGCCAUCUGAUGAUGGGUCAUGCUGUUGAGGAGCACAGAGAAAUGUUUCGAAGCUUGCUCCACAUAUGAAUCAAGUUACGAAAUGUAGGUGAACAAGGAAUGACUCCAGCAGCAAUCCCAUGUUUCAGGUGAGAAAUUUGAUAGGCUGGAAGAGGAAUCUGUGUGUAGAGAAUUUAGGGGGGAAAGUGGCUGUUGUGAAAUCUAAUUAAAGCUUUUUUCGCAACAACUAGCCUGAAGACUUUGAAGACUCAAAUUCUUUGUUGUAAAUAAAUGUUAAAACCAU
rnacentral:lncRNA from 1 species